GAUGAACGCUGGCGGCGUGCUUAACACAUGCAAGUCGAACGGAAAGGCCCAAGCUUGCUUGGGUACUCGAGUGGCGAACGGGUGAGUAACACGUGGGUGAUCUGCCCUGCACUUCGGGAUAAGCCUGGGAAACUGGGUCUAAUACCGGAUAGGACGAUGGUUUGGAUGCCAUUGUGGAAAGUUUUUUCGGUGUGGGAUGAGCUCGCGGCCUAUCAGCUUUUUGGUGGGGUAAUGGCCUACCAAGGCGUCGACGGGUAGCCGGCCUGAGAGGGUGUACGGCCACAUUUGGACUGAGAUACGGCCCAGACUCCUACGGGAGGCAGCAGUGGGGAAUAUUGCACCAUGGGCGAAAGCCUGAGGCAGCGACGCCGCGUGGGGGAUGACGGCCUUCGGGUUGUAAACUCCUUUCGCUAGGGACGAAGCGUUUUUGUGACGGUACCUGGAGAAGAAGCACCGGCUAACUACGUG
rnacentral:rRNA from 1 species